UUUUUAAGCAACAUCUGUAUUUUAUAUAACGGCUGAGUGGAUCCUUGUCAUUUGGUUGGUGCUUUGUAUGUCAUGUGACUAUUCAUUCCAUUUACUGUGUAAUUUGAUUCCAUACAUUUUGUACCAUUGCACGCUGUGAAACA